GUCGAAGCUGCCUGAAUGGUGUGUGCAGGCAAUGAGGAAACAGAACAGAAUAUGGCUUGCUGGGCCAUCCAGCUCUUCACAGAUCAAUCCCAAUCCUACUACAAAUGGUGUCCUUACCAAAACCAGCCAGAAGAGCACAUGUGACCAGGAAGCCCCAGUGACUGGACAUGCUCAGGGUCCAGCUGCUAUGACAGUGAGAGCGUUCUGCUGAAGGCCCUGCUGGAGUUGACGUGAAACGAGCCGUGCAGCUUGUUGGAGCUCACACCAGAUUUCCUCCUUUCCCUGUCCUGUUGUGUGUACACCAUUAACCUGGGUGAGCUUAUUCCAGUCAGAGGACCUGGAACUGGAGAGGACGAGGAAGUAUUUUAUCACACCAUAUGGCUAUGCUGCUGAGACUUUGUUCUUAGGAGCCAAAGGAUACCCUGUCCUUACUUCCAACCAGGCAGGAAAGCCAUCCCUAGCCCUUCCAAGGGGUGAGAGCCCAGCAGAGCCUAGAGGAGGAGAGGGGAGUCAGAAGACGGAUCAAAUGAGAGACCCCAACAUCUCCGGAGUAACCUGCUCUCAGGAGCUGACUCUUCUGCCGAGGUCAGAGAUGAUCAGACACAUCUGAAUUGCAAUUAGAGAUAAACAGAGCGCUGGGGCUUCUCAAGUCACCAGAGAAUAUGGCCGGGCGACUGGCAGCUACAAGGAUCCCAUUUAUGCGUUACGAUGCAGUUCUAUUCUUCAAUAGCUCACUCCAAACAAGGAAAUUAAAUUAAGCACUGUUUAAAAUGCCUCAGAUAAUAAUAUAAAUUUGUACUGAAUGAAUUUAGUGUCAUUUCCUUGUUUGGAAUGGAAGGUGAGAAAACAUGGGAGCGGAGGAAAGAGUAAAUAGCGAACUCGAUUAAUCCUCCUGGAAGAGAACGGAGCCACACGAGCGACUUUUGUGUCUGUUUGGUUAAUAUUUUCCUGAAAAUUGUUAUUAGCUCUAACUGAUCCAAAUCAAAACCCACCGUAUAACGUUGCCAACAACUUAAUAGCUGGAGCGCAGGCCGGAAGGCUUGCCGUGGCGCCGCAGCGGAAGCGAAGGGGGCACGGGUGUGCAGGAGCUUGAGAUUAAAACCUGUCAGAGAAAGGCUGAAGCCAAGUAGAGAGCUGGGCUGGUCCUGAGAGAAAAGGGUCAGGACUGUGGCCUGGAGGUGAUACAGGGUCUGUUCCACUAGUGCGUGGCUUUUUGUGACUUGUGAAGGACAGGCAGGGAUGGUAAGCCCCCCAAGGGGCUAAGUGAGGUGGAAUACACUUGUCUCCCGGAACUAGAGAGCUGAGGCCAUCCUGGGCCACAGAGUAAGCCUUUGCUUCAAAACAAACGAGACAAAACCAGCUAAUAAUAAGAGAAUGUCCAGCUCUGCCCACCAAGAGCCAUGGUUAUAGUAGCUGUCAUCUUCCUUGGGAGCAAGGAAGCCUGGGGAGACAAGAGGCGUGUCCCACUUACUCCCAGCCUUCGGGACUCUUUGUAGUGGAGGGCUUUUGCCUUCAACUCGAGGAGGCAGGACUCUUUUCCGUAUCCUUUCAAGGAGCAAGGAGAGAAGCUAAGAACAGAUGUCCAGGCUGCAUUGAGGCCUUCGGCUCGGAGCUUGCGAUACUCUAGCCACUUCUAGGUGUUGAGCCAGGACUAACGAUAAUUCUCAGGACCAACCUGGCCCAGCCCCACUUCCUGAACCUGUGUGGUCAGGAAAAUGAGGGGUUUCUGUCUCACGGCGGCGUCUGUUGAGAUACCUCAGGACGGAUUUGUAAGCUGGUGGUUUGUACUGGACCCUGAUUUUGCUGCUUCUCAGCUCUGAGCACAAAAUACCAUGGGGAAAACAAGGGCCGCCAGAGAGGGUUGACUGUGAUCUGUGGAGUGGUCAGUGUUUUCCUUCCAGGCAAGAGAAUCACACAUUUUCACUUCUUAGUAUGACUUACAAAGGCUCUAAAUUCCUAUCCUGGAAAUGUGAGAUGACACGAGAACUGAUCAUGUUUGCCGAUUCAGACUAUAGCUCACCUCUUCCAGAAACGAGUUCAGGUUGAGUCCUAACAUGAAAGAUAACAUUUAAUGGGUCCAUCUAAGGAAGCAGAGGAAGCCAGGCUUCCAGGAACUCUCUAAGGGGUGCUAAUUAGUGUGGCUGAAGAUCAGUCCAGCUGCAAGGCUUAGGUAACUAAGGCAAGCAGGAGAGAAUGCUGGGAUCCACGAUGUCGCACUAAGAAAAGCAAAACCUUUCUCUGGCACUCAUUUCUAGGAAAAACUUACAAUGUGUCCCUUUGGCUGCUGUGUUCCUCUUUUUUGAGACAGUCUCACUCUGCAAUCUGGGCUGGCCACAAACACAGUGAUCUUCCUGCUUCAGCUUCCAGUGCUGGGAUUUCAGGCAUGUAUGACCCUGCCUGGCUUUCCA
rnacentral:lncRNA from 1 species